GACAGAGGGUGCAAACGUUGUUCGGAAUUACUGGCGUAAAGCGUGUGUAGGCGGCUUUGCAAGUCGGAUGUGAAAGCCCCGGGCUCAACCCGGGAAGUGCACUCGAUACUGCAGAGCUUGAGUGUCGGAGAGGUUGGUGGAAUUCUCGGUGUAGAGGUGAAAUUCGUAGAUAUCGAGAGGAACACCGGCGGCGAAGGCGGCCAACUGGACGAACACUGACGCUGAGACACGAAAGCGUGGGGAGCAAACAGG
rnacentral:rRNA from 1 species